rnacentral:rRNA from 1 species
UCACCAUGGGCAUGUUUGUGAAUGUAAAGUCCACUGGGAAUGUGGCAGCGCUUCGGCGUUCUUUGGGUCAGAGAGGGUGAAAACCCCGUUUACAUUCAUGAGCGUGUCUGUUGUGUGAGCGUGUUAAAGAGUCGGAUUGUUUGGGAAUGCAAUCCAAAACGGGUGGUAAAUUCCAUCCAAGACUAAAUAUUAGCAAGAGACCGAUAGCGAACAAGUACCGUGAGGGAAAGAUGAAAAGCGCUCUGAUUUACAGAGAUUGAUAGUACUUUGUUGAAUUUGCUCAAAGAGAUGGUUUUGAUAUUACCGCGCGUGCAUUGUAACCNNUUGCGGCCUGUCUUAAAGGUGAAGGGCGGGAGGGGAAUUAUCUCCCGAGUGGUGAUUGGCGUUCUUCCAAGAAAGCCACUUCNUUUUUUUGGGUUGGCGUAAAAACAAGNNAGUUUAANNGAGGGUGGGGGGGGGGGGGUCACCCCCCCCCCCGCCCUCAAAAAAA